rnacentral:rRNA from 1 species
UCCUACGGGGGGCAGCAGUCGAGAAUUUUUCACAAUGGGCGCAAGCCUGAUGGAGCGACGCCGCGUGGGGGAUGAAUGGCUUCGGCCCGUAAACCCCUGUCAUUUGCGAUCAAACCUUGUUAUUUAAAAGAUGACGAGCUGAUAGUAGCGAAAGAGGAAGGGACGGCUAACUCUGUGCCAGCAGCCGCGGUAAUACAGAGGUCCCGAGCGUUGUUCGGAUUCACUGGGCGUAAAGGGUGCGUAGGUGGCGAGGUAAGUCGGAUGUGAAAUCUCGGAGCUCAACUCCGAAACUGCAUUGGAAACUACCUUGCUUGAGGGUUGGAGGGGGGACUGGAAUACUUGGUGUAGCAGUGAAAUGCGUAGAUAUCAAGUGGAACACCAGUGGCGAAGGCGAGUCCCUGGACAACUCCUGACACUGAGGCACGAAAGCUAGGGGAGCAAACAGGAUUAGAUACCCUGGUAGUCCG